ACUCACCUCACAGACACCCUGCUGCCUAAUGGAUGCUCCUCCAGGAUUUGAAACCCUUCCUCCAGAAGCAAGUGCCCCCACUACUUCCUACUUCGUCUUGGCUCCAAACCUCAGGCUGAUCCGUGUGACAGUCCAUUAGCUUAGCCGGUGAAGAGUCUGCUCCCAGACUCUGGUGAUCUACUGGCUGAGCAUGCAGCAGUGAGGAUGAAGAAGCCUUCCGGGAAAUGGAGACAGGAAAGACAACUGGGCCUUGGACAGAAGAGAGGAGGCGGACAGGAGGCGGACAGGGUCACACAGUCACCCAGGGCAUGACUCGGAGAAGAGGAGGUGUUUCAGGGCCAUGCUAUUGCUUGAUGGCUAAGUUGCCCAGAUUGGACUUGAAUUGUGGUCUUCCUGCUUCAGGCUCCAAGAGUUCUGGAUUACAGAUCUCUCAGACAGACCCAAGAUUUCUCCUCAGCACCAGGAGGAUGUUACAAAUUCUGCCCCAAGCUGGGUGUGGUGGCUCACAGGCCUGUAAUCCCAGCACUUUGGGAGGCUGAGUCCUGAAGAUGGAACCUAGGGCCUCCCAAGCACUCUACUGCUGAGCGGCCCCUCACCCCUUAAGGUUUGCCUUGUGUUUGAAUAUUGCUACUCUGUGACCUCAGAGUCACAAAGCGACUGGUAUGUGUAUGAUAAUGAAAUCUGUGAACCUUCCGAAUCCACCUUUGAAAUGGGUAAGAGCUCCAUUAAAAACCAUGGGUGCCGGGACCCUGCUAAAUGAUUCCCUAAAGAAGGUGGGAUGGAGGUGUCCUUAGGAGUUAGCCUUCCAGAGAGCCGCCCUGCCCCCAGGUUGCUGGGGAGAGGGGAGCACUUCUCUGUGGACGCACUUGGUGUGAAUCCGCUGCCUCCUCCUGGGGGGGCUCAGUUACAGCCCCACCCCCUGCAGGCUUGGGCCGGAACAACCAGGCGCUCUGCUCCUCUGGAGGCAGGGUUGGCUCCACGGGCUCUGGGGAGCUCAGGCAUCCUGGGUCCAGGAACAGCAGGCCCAGAACCCAGUGUGAGCUGCUGGUCUCUAGGUCUCUCUGUCAUUUGCCCCUUGCCACCUUGCCAUGGGGUCGUACAGGGAAACGGCCAUCUGUGGCUCCUGAACUUGUUUUAGGUCCUGAUAACAGUGAGGGUCCCUUGUCCUUGUGUCCCCUACCUCCUGGUGCUGGGGACGGAACCCAGGGCUUCAUGCUCACCCAGCAAGUGUUCUGGCUAAGGCCACACCCUUAAACCCCAGUGGUGAGAGAAAUUGCAAAAGAUUUCAUUAAGAUCAAACGAAGGAACCUUUAAAAAUAUACCAAUAAUUGACAUCCCCU
rnacentral:lncRNA from 1 species